rnacentral:rRNA from 1 species
AUGGAGAAGGACAGCCACAAGGAGGGGGAGGGGGCGACGGCGUGGAUGACGGUGCCGGCGUUCGGGGACUGGGACAUGAAGAACGGCGCCAUGCCGGACUACUCCAUGGACUUCUCCAAGAUCCGGGAGAUGCGCAAGCAGAACAAGAAGGAGCUCUCCCGCGCCAGCCUCGGCGGCGACGACGACCUCCUCGCCCACCACAAGCAGCACCACCACCAGCAGCAGCCCGCCGCCAAGGCUCCCCAGCAGCCCACCAAGCUCGGCGCUCCGGCCAAAGACCACGGCCGCGACCACUCGCCCACCGGAAGGAAGAGGUUCCUGAGCUAUUUCCAGUGCUGCAUCAAGGCCUGA